GCGUGUGUGGUUUAGCGAUUAGCAUGGCUGCCUUCCAAGCAGUCGAUCUGGGUUGGACUCCUGGCACACGCA
rfam:Schistocephalus solidus strain NST_G2 genome assembly, scaffold: SSLN_scaffold0010782